rnacentral:rRNA from 1 species
CACGGGGGGAGCAAGCGUUGUUCGGAAUCACUGGGCGUAAAGGGUGCGUAGGCGGCGCGGUAAGUCGGGUGUGAAAUCUCGGAGCUUAACUCCGAAACUGCAUUCGAUACUGCCGUGCUUGAGGACUGGAGAGGAGACUGGAAUUUACGGUGUAGCGGUGAAAUGCGUAGAUAUCGUAAGGAAGACCAGUGGCGAAGGCGGGUCUCUGGACAGUUCCUGACGCUGAGGCGCGAAGGUCAGGGGAGCAAACGGG